AUUGAACGCUGGCGGCAUGCCUUACACAUGCAAGUCGAACGGCAGCACGGGAGCAAUCCUGGUGGCGAGUGGCGAACGGGUGAGUAAUAUAUCGGAACGUGCCCAGUCGUGGGGGAUAACGCAGCGAAAGCUGUGCUAAUACCGCAUGAGAUCUAUGGAUGAAAGCGGGGGAUCGCAAGACCUCGCGCGAUUGGAGCGGCCGAUAUCAGAUUAGGUAGUUGGUGGGGUAAAGGCUCACCAAGCCGACGAUCUGUAGCUGGUCUGAGAGGACGACCAGCCACACUGGAACGGAGACAGGGUCCAGACUCCUACGGGAGGCAGCAGUGGGGAAUUUUGGACAAGGGGCGCAAGCCUGAUCCAGCUAUGCCGCGUGCAGGAAGAAGGCCUUCGGGUUGUAAACUGCUUUUGUACGGAACGAAAAGCCCCGGGUUAAUACCCUGGGGUCAUGACGGUACCGUAAGAAUAAGCACCGGCUAACUACGUGCCAGCCGCCGCCGUAACAC
rnacentral:rRNA from 1 species